GUAACAAUGAGCCUCAGAACUUCUAAUAAGCAGCAUAAUUGCCAUGUGGAGAAGGCUACAUUAUACAACACCAAUUUCUCUCUGAAGAUCCACCACCUCCGGAUGAAUGUUACUGAUUCCUACUGUCUAUUUCAUAGAUCUUCAACUCUUGUUCUUUUGUUUAAAGAUAUGAGUCUAAGCUUAGACAUAUAUGAUGCUUUCAAUUCAAAAAUGUUGUUUAGAAAAGGCGCUCAUUUAAAGAAUUUGCUGAAAGCUAAAGGAUAACCAAAGCAAAAGGCACACACAGGGUAACAUAAAUCUAGAAUAUAUGUUUUGCCAUAUGUAUUUUUCUCAUUUCCAAUCUAUUGUUAAAUACAUGGCAUCCUCCUACCACACCCUUACUUCCACUAGGCAGAGCAUCCAUUUAUUCUCUACCAUGCACAAGUCUUUGGCUUCAAAGUCAUAGGUUUCCAUGGUUACAGUUCUUCAUUGGUGUUCUUAUUUUCCUCAGGUAACUGAUAUUAAACUGGACUUCCCUCUCUUGCUCAAACCUCUGAGGUCCUCAUAGGCUAGAUUAUCAUCAAUAUAAUAUGACAACCUUAAGAUUCAUAUUAAACACAAACACUCUUGGUAAUUGGAAGGGAGAAAGUGAGAGGGAGGAGUCUUGAAAGAGAAUAUUGUUUCAUUACCUUUUCUUUCAAUUUUUGGGUAGCUUUUAUGGUCGUAAAGUAGCCUUUGGGAAAAAAUAUUGGAGACACUUGCAGUUUUAAGGCUUUAUCAAUGUCUGGUAAUGUGAUGUGGAGAUGAUAGAGCUUAAAUGUGAUGUGUUAAGCCACUGUUUCAGCACAUUUAAGCCAUGACUAAAAAGAGAAUUAUGAAUAUACCUGUAAAAAAGGAUAGAUGAGAAAUAAAGAAGUGUUGAAGCAUUCGGAUGACUAGUGAAGGAAAUCUCUUAGUCUAAAUUGGUCUGAUAGUCUUAAAAUGUGGAAUAGAACGUGGAGAAGAGUCCAUAACUAUCGAGCCAUAAGAGUGUAAUACAUACUAGAAGGGUAUUUGGGGGCUCAGGAGGAGGUGGGGAUGGUUAGCAGGUACAAAAUAAAAUAGAGUGAAUGAAUAAGACCUACUAUUUAACAGCACCAUAGGGUGACUAUAGUCAAUAAUAACUUAAUUGUACAAUAACUUCUACAAUUUUAAAAUAACUUAAAGGAUGUAAUUGGAUUGUUUGGAAUUUGAAGGAUAAAUGCUUGAGGGGAUGAAUAACCCAUUCUCCUGAAUGUGCUUAUUUCACAUUGCAAGCCUAUAUCAAAACAUCUCAUGUACUCCAUAAAUAUAUACACCUACUAUGUACCCAUAAAAUUUAAAAAAAUGAUAACUCAUUCUGCAAUUAAUGACAACCAAAUAUGUGGACUAAGAGAGAAAUGAAGUAGCAUAGCAAGGACUCCUGGAAAUUCUUGAAAGCAAAAUGCAAAAAUCUUAACAAAUUGAAAAAGCAUCCCAAAAACAGUUACUGAAAUUAUAACACAGAGUUUAUACAAAUUUUAAUUGGUCUUUAUAUAGAAUUAUGAACAUCAUAAUUGGUGAGAAAGACAAGCAAGAUUGAAAUUUUCAUAAGCAUUUGAAUAACUCUUAAAUCUCAGACAUUGACAGCAAAUUGACUUCAGAGAUAUGACAAGAAACAGCUGGAGCUGAAGCAGCAGGGCUGAGGAGCUCCAAACAAAGAAAAAGGAUAAAAUGGAAUUACUCUCAGAGCCCUUAGGGCAAGAUCAAAGCUCCGCUUUAGUUCACUCCAUCUAAUAAUCUUAGAAUAUAACAACAUGAAAAUGUGACUUGUGACUAGGAAACUGAGAACUGUAAAUGAUGUUAAUAAAAAUACAAGCUGAUCUGUUUGGGGAGAUAAGAGGGGGGUUGUAGAUUUUAUUUUUUGGUUGUGAAAAUAGAAAUAGGGUUUAAAUAUAUUUUUGCCUUCUUCAAACAAUACUGAAGAGUGAAAGAAGAGGUAGUCUUGUAAACCAGUGGUUAAAAACCAUAGCUAUUCUAUCCUACGUCUUCACUAUCAUUCUAAGUGGAUUGUAUGAGAAAUGAGGGGGGGGAAAAAGUACUAUUUUCCAGUUAAGGCUCUCAUUUGUGUAGUCACUCACAAAGCCCUGGUCCUAUUUCCAAGUGGCCAAUGACUUUUGAAUCUUUCAUCUUUACAGUUCAGUUUGAUUUCUCCUUCAUUCAUCGAAACCACCUUACCUCAAAUAUGACCACCCUUGUUUAAAUCCCUCCUUAAGGGUAUGACAUAGCAUCACUAUAUCUGAUUUUCUUGUAAUUCUUAGAGAAAAUUAUAACUAUCACAGGCCUUUUCCCCUAAUUCUUACCCAACUCUCAAGACCUUAGGUCCAGAACUUAGAAUAUAAUCUAGUGCCUUUGCCAAAUGGUAUAGAUGUCCUUCUUCUCAUUAGUUUUUUCAAAAACAAUGGUGAAAAUCUCAAAAAAUAUGCCCCUUCAAUGAGAGGUAAUUGUUUACUUUGAAGUAAAUGGUCAUUCAUGAUACAUCUCUAAAUUACCUUCAGAACGUGUUUCUCAGAACUAAUGUUAUAUGUAGACAUGUAGGCCAGGCAUAGUAGCUCACACCUGUAAUCCCAGCACUUUGGGAUUCAGAGGCAGGUGGAUCUCCUGAGAUCACGAGUUCGAGACCAGCCUGGGUGACAUGGCGAAACCCUGUCUCUACGAAAAAUACAAAAAUUAGCCACAUGUAGUAGCCUCCCAAGUAGCCUGCUCCUGUAGUCUCAGCUACUUGGGAGGCUGAGGUAGGAGGACUGCUUGAGCCUGGGUAGUUGAGGUUGUACCACUGCACUCCAGCCUCAGUGACAAAGUGAGACCCUGUCUCAUUAAAAAAAAAAAAAAAAAAAAAAAAAGAAUCCAAAUGUAGAUAUGUAAUCAGCACCAAACUGCUGUAGCGUUGCCCUUCGAUUUCCAAUUUUCUGUGUUGUUGUGUGGACAUUUAUAAAAUUUGUUUCUGUGACUAAAGAACACAUAAAGGAUUUGCAAAAAUGGAAUGUCUUUUAUUGCACACAAUUCAUUGCUGCAAUGAUCUUUAUUUAUUUGAGAACAUGGUAACAAUAAUAAUAUAUUUCAACCAAAUGGUGGAGUGAUACAGGAAGUCUCUGUUUCAUUUUCUGGUAGAAUGAGACCACCUCAUUCUCAUCACACAGUCCAGGAUCCCUUAAGGAACAUUUUCUAGGCAGCUUUACUAGCCAACAUUCUGGUCCAAACAUGAAGUACAUGAACCUGCCUUGGGAAUAGUGGCUAUCCAGCCCCCCAGACAUUACACCAUGUGAUUUUGCGUCACCGCUGCCUUCAAUGAUUAUAAGCCAGAGGAUUUAUAUGGUCUUGUACUCUGACAUAAGCAGCACAUAUUUAUGAGAUUUUGGAAAUAACUGUGGUAACGUAUUUAAAAAUUGACUUUUGUCCCAUGUUCAUGUGUUCCUAAAUGACUUUGUUGAUGAGUAAUACAUUUUUGAAGAUACUCAAUUUUUUAUAAAUACUAUGUAUGUUAAAAUGUAAGUAUAUGCAGUGUAUGUACAAAUUGAGUUCUUAUGUGCUCAGCCCUGCACUGAGCAAAUUGACAUAUAUUAUCUCAUUUUAUUUUCAUAAAAAUACUAUGAGAAAAGGAGUCAUUGAUGCACAGAUAGAUUAAACAACUUGCCCAAAGUUACACAACUAGUUCAGAAGUCAUGAUGUUAUAUUAAAUGUAUCGGUAAAGAUAGGUGCUCGCUAGUGGGUGUUUCAGCACAAUUUCAUCACCAAGCCUUAUAACACUCAAAUUAGCAUUUGAUAUGGUUUGGAUAUUUAGCCCACCUCAGUCUCAUGCUACAAUGUAAUCAAUCCCCAAUGUUGGAGGUGGGGCCUGAUGGGAGAUGUUUGGGUCUUGUGGGUGGAUCCCUCAUGCCUGGGAGCUGUUCUCAAGAUCUCGAGAUAGUGAGUGAGUUCUCAGGAGAUCUAGUCGUUUGAAAGUGUAUAGCAUCUUCCCCUUCUCUCUUGCCUCCCUUCUGCCAUGUAAAGUGCCUGCUCCCACUUUACCUUCCACCGUGAUUAAAAGCUCCCUGAGGCCUCACCAGAAGCAGAGCAGAUGCUGGCACAGUGCUUCCUGCACAGUGUGCAGAACCAUGACAAUUAAACCUCUUUUCUUUAUAAAUUAUCCAGUUUCAGGUAUUUAUUUGUAGCAAUAUAAGAACCACCUAAUACAGCAGUCAACAUAAAAUUGUUGUUGUCUCAGUAUUAUGUUCUGUUUGUGUUCCCACAAAAUUAAUAUGCUGAAAUCCUAACUCACAAUGUGAUGGUAUUAGGAGGUAAUAUCUUUGGGAGGUGAUUAGUUCAUGAAGGUGGAGCUCUCAUGAAUGAGAUUAAUGUCCUUAUAAGAAAAAGUAUAUGAGAGAUGAUAUCCAGUCUUUCCCAUGUGAGACUACAACUAGAAGGCCAUCUGCAAAAAAAGGAGCUUUCACCAGACACCAUCUGCCAGCACCUAGAACCUGGACUUCCUAGCCUCCGGAACUAUGAGAAAUAAAUGUUUAAGUCAUCCAGUCCAUGGUAUCUGUUACAACAACCCAAACUGAUUAGGGCACUCAGCAUCUACCCAGAGAGCAUCCAGUAAAUGGAAUUCAGAGGUUCAUGUCCUGGUGGAAGGUGGUAUACUUAACUGUACUCCCCAGCUUUAAACAGAAGAAAGAGUCCCGUCCCCACUACCAGCGACGUCACUCAGCAAGAAUUUAGUGUUCUAAUUGGC
rnacentral:lncRNA from 10 species